UAUAGGGUGCCUGAAAAAAGGAUUAUUUUGAUAGAAUAAAUUAUACAAUAACUUGUCCCUGUAA
rnacentral:tRNA from 1 species